rnacentral:tRNA from 1 species
AAGAAAGUGACAGAGUGGUUAUGUGAUUGGCUUGAAACCGAUAUACGGGGGUUCAAUUCCCUUCUUUCUCG